UACGUAGGGUGCGAGCGUUGUCCGGAAUUAUUGGGCGUAAAGAGCUUGUAGGCGGUCUGUCGCGUCUGCUGUGAAAAUCCGGGGCUCAACCCCGGACUUGCAGUGGGUACGGGCAGACUAGAGUGUGGUAGGGGAGACUGGAAUUCCUGGUGUAGCGGUGAAAUGCGUAGAUAUCUGGAGGAACACCGGUGGCGAAGGCGGCGUUCUGGACUGCAACUGACACUGAUGAACGAAAGCCAGGGGAGCAAACGGG
rnacentral:rRNA from 1 species